AUUGAACGCUGGCGGCAUGCUUUACACAUGCAAGUCGUACGGUAACAGGUUAAGCUGACGAGUGGCGAACGGGUGAGUAAUGCAUCGGAACGUGCCCGGUCGUGGGGGAUAACGCAGCGAAAACUGCGCUAAUACCGCAUACGAUCUAAGGAUGAAAGCGGGGGACCGUAAGGCCUCGCGCGAUCGGAGCGGCCGAUGUCAGAUUAGGUAGUUGGUGGGGUAAAGGCUCACCAAGCCAACGAUCUGUAGCUGGUCUGAGAGGACGACCAGCCACACUGGGACUGAGACACGGCCCAGACUCCUACGGGAGGCAGCAGUGGGGAAUUUUGGACAAUGGGCGAAAGCCUGAUCCAGCAAUGCCGCGUGCAGGAAGAAGGCCUUCGGGUUGUAAACUGCUUUUGUACGGAGCGAAAAGGUCUCCUCUAAUACAGGGGGCUCAUGACGGUACCGUAAGAAUAAGCACCGGCUAACUACGUGCCAGCCGCCGCGGUAA
rnacentral:rRNA from 1 species